GCGACCAGCAAAACAUAUGUUAUGACUCCUAAAUCGCACAAAAUCCUAGAAACUGCUUUCAGAAGUCGAACUGAACCAGUGAGUGGGACAUCAAAAGCAGUAUGUAAAAACACAAUCACACUUUUUUUUCUACACACUGCACUUAAUUAUAAACAAUGUAGCCUUACACUUAAUUUUCCAAACAUUAACUUAAACAUAUUUUCUAGCAAAACCUAGUGUAUGUUGUAAAUACAAUGUAUUUGAUUCAGCAUACUAAAAUAUGAGUAAUGCCAUCAUUUGCAGAGUUUUAAUGUGAAUUUUGGUAUUUGUGCCUAGUACUGCAUUGUAUUUCAUAUUGAAUAUGCUAGAAUACUUCCUGUAUGACUUUGUGUUGUACAGAUAAUGUACGAUCGUUUUUAGAUCAUGUAGGUUGGAGGUUUGCACAGUCGAACAUGGUGCCAUGUUCUACAUCUGUCUGUCUGUAGCUAGUAAUAUGUAUGUUUGUAUAGGUUGUUGUGUGCUUUUUGUUUCUUGCAAUAAAAAUGUUUGGAGUGUA